rnacentral:misc_RNA from 1 species
CUGAGUGUAAAACUCUCCAAACCCAUUGUGAACAUACCACUGUUGCUUCGGCGGAUCCCCUGGCGCUCCUCUCCAGGCGUGCCCUGACCAGCCCGCCGGGGACUACUAAACUCUUGUUUAAUUUGCAGUAUCUUCUGAAUGUGAUUACUAAGAAAUAAGUCA